GUCAGUUUCUAAUCGAGUUACGAGUAAAGUUACGAGUCGUGGGACAAAUCGCUACUCCAUUUGAUACCGUGCAUACAGAUGUUUUAGGUCCCCUUCCCGACUCGAACGGUUAUAAGUUCGUUAUCUUGAUUGUAGACGCGUUUUCAAAGUAUUGUUUACUGUAUCCAAUUUUUCGACAAGAUGCAAAUGAGUUAAAGCGUGUUUUCGAGAACGCCAUAUCAUUAUUUGGCAUUCCUCGAUUAGCUGUAGCGGAUCGAGGUAGAAUGUAUGAGAAUUGAGAGCACUUCGUUUACUAGUUUGUUUAGAGACCAAUUCUGUGAAAUACCUACAUUUUAUAACUGCAGAAAUGCAUCAACGUAAUGGGCAGGUUGAGCGGUAUUGCCGCACAGUUAUGAAUAUGAUUCGCGUAGAAACGAACUAUCGUCAGGAAAGUUGGUCCGCUAUUCUUUGGAAACUACAGCUCAACCUGAACAUUACGAAACAAAAAUCGACUGAAUGUUCACCUUUAAAUUUGUUAAUUGGCAGCGAUGGUGUUACGCCUGUCAUCCGAUCCGUGGUCCGCGACAUUGCAUCGGAAGCCACCAGUCCGAACCGAGAAUCAUUGCGAGAACUUGCUCGACAGCGCGCUAGUGAGCUGCUUGAAGACAACCAUAAAGGUCGCACAAAAUAUUGGGAUGAAUACUUAGUAAAACAACAUAAAAAGUCCCAAAUUGAACAUAAAAAAUUGAAGUUAAAGAAAACUAUGGCUAAAGAGAGAAGUUUUAAAGCACGUCUUGCCAAUGCUGAAAAAUUAGUUGCUGGUCAGGCAUUCCAUAAAGUCACAGCAAAAAUGUCAGAAGCUGGAAAAAAUUUUACUGGACUACAAUUUAAACAAGCUCUGAAAAAACCUUAAGGAAGACGUUAUACCACUGAAGAAAAAGUGUUGGCCUUGACUUUAUAUUUUAAAAGAAGCCCUAAAUUAUACACACUUAUGUACAAUUAAUAUUUUACACUGCCAUCUUCAAAAUCAUUCCGAAACCUGCUGGCUCUAAUAAAAAUGUCUCCAGGGAUUAAUAAAAUCAUUUUUGACAAAUUAAAAGACUCUGUCAGAGGAAUGAAUGAGGAUGACCGCCUAUGCACACUCAUCUUUGAUUAGAUGUCGCUCACACCGAACAUCCAAUAUGAUGCAGCAAAUGAUCAACUGCAAGGCUUCAUAAGUCAUAGUAGCAAAAUGAAAAUCGCUAAUCAUGUUUUAGUGUUUAUUGAUCAAGGGCAUCAAAAUGAACUAUAAACAACCAGUUGCUUACUUUUUUACCCAAAGGCCCAAAGCCUGCAGAAGUUAGAAUUAAAAAAUAUUAUCAAAGAUGUGGUCAGGCAUGUGCACUCAACAGGCUUAAAAAUAUUGUGUUUGGUCUGUGACCAAGGAGCCACUAAUGUCAGUGAAUUAAGUAGCUUAGUACAGGAUACAAAGGAUAAAUAUUUAAGAAAUGGAAAAGAAUGGCGUUAUGAUAUGUAUGAAUGUGAUUCAAAACAAAUAAUUCCAUUAUUUGAUGUGCCACAUUUAAUUAAAGGAUUAAGAAAUAAUCUUUUAACAAAAGACAUGCAGUACAUCGAUUUUGAGGAUGGGAAUAAAAAAAAAAGUGAUAAAAUGCACACUUCCAGAUGUUAUAUGAAGCAGACAAAAGUUAUGGAGAGCUAAGGUAUCUUCACAAAAUCACUGAAGAGCAUAUACUGCCAGAAAAAAAAAGAGUCAAAAUGGCUACACAAAUAUUCAGCCAUAGUGUGGCGGUUGCUAUAAAACACUUAACAGACAGAAAAAAUUUACCAGAUGAGUGCCGGCAACUUAUACCAGUAGUUAUACGGGAAGCUUUAAUAUAAUUAAUGGAAAAAUUUAUAGAGGUGGAGUGAAAAAAAAUUCACCCCUCCGUAAGUUAUGGCAAGACAGUAUAAGAUUUUUAAAAAAUGGUAAAUAUAUGGUUAACAAAAAAGACGGUAACAAAAUACGCAUUGUUGAAUCAUCUGCGCCAUCUAUAACUAAUUUUAUAAAGACAAUCGAGGGUAUGCAACAAUUAUGGAAAAUAUUAAGCAACAAGUAUUCUUUUGACUCCAUGCUAACAAGGAACUUCAAUCAGGACCCUAUUGAAAAUUUCUUCGGAAAUAUAAGAAGUUCAAGCGUAAGAAAUACAUCUCCAAACUGUAGGGCAUGUGAAAGUGCCUUUAAAACAAUUUUACUUAAUAAUCUCAUGUUAUAAACGCGAAUUGCGAAGAAGAUUUUAAUAAGUGCCUACAAAAUUUAGACUUUUUUUUUAAUAAAGGAAAAAGAUAGUUUGGAGAGAAAUCCUAGCAAGAAAAUAAACACGCAUGAAAUUGAAAUAGAAGAAAAUUUUUACAAUGCUCUCUGCUCAUUGAAUGUUGAUCAUUCUUCAGAUCAUCAAGAACGCAGUUAUGUAUGUGGAUGGGUUCUAAGAAAAUGUUUGAGCAAAAAAAUAAAAAAAUGCAAAUGUAGAAGUUCCUUGUUAUCUAAUAAGGAAGAUAUAGGUAAUGAAUACUUAAAAGCUAAAGAAUUUAAUAUAAAAAAACAAUGGCUUUGCUAUCCUUCAAAAAAAAAUUUCAAAUACAUUUAAGUAAUGAACUUCAAGAGUUAAUAGCAAUGUAUUUGAAAACGAAUAAAAAAAAAUAAAAAUAUAAAAGCACAACUUAAAAUGUUUAUUGAUACUUUUAUUGUAUUUUCACAUGAUUGUGAUACCCAUGAAAAUGAUUUUAAACGUUAUUUUAUUGAAAUCACAAUAAAUAUACUUUUAUAUACUUAGCUGGUGCAGAUCAAUGAAUCGUAUUUUGUCAGGAAAAUUAACAUAAUAUUAUGUAGAAAACGACGAUCCUUUGAAGCAGUGUGUUCAAGCAUAUUAUAAUAAACACAAACAUAUCAAAUAAAACAGCGGCAAGUUGCGCUAAUGUAAUGCAUGUACCAAAUACAUACAUAAAUUAUCUUAAUCUUAAUGAAUAAACUCCCAAUUAAUUUAAAA